UGAGUUACGAACGGGUGAGUAACGCGUAGGUAACCUGCCUGGUAGCGGGGGAUAACUAUUGGAAACGAUAGCUAAUACCGCAUAAGAGUAGAUGUUGCAUGACAUUUGCUUAAAAGGUGCACUUGCAUCACUACCAGAUGGACCUGCGUUGUAUUAGCUAGUUGGUGGGGUAACGGCUCACCAAGGCGACGAUACAUAGCCGACCUGAGAGGGUGAUCGGCCACACUGGGACUGAGACACGGCCCAGACUCCUACGGGAGGCAGCAGUAGGGAAUCUUCGGCAAUGGACGGAAGUCUGACCGAGCAACGCCGCGUGAGUGAAGAAGGUUUUCGGAUCGUAAAGCUCUGUUGUAAGAGAAGAACGAGUGUGAGAGUGGAAAGUUCACACUGUGACGGUAUCUUACCAGAAAGGGACGGCUAACUACGUGCCAGCAGCCGCGGCAAUACGUAGGUCCCGAGCGUUGUCCGGAUUUAUUGGGCGUAAAGCGAGCGCAGGCGGUUAGAUAAGUCUGAAGUUAAAGGCUGUGGCUUAACCAUAGUAGGCUUUGGAAACUGUUUAACUUGAGUGCAAGAGGGGAGAGUGGAAUUCCAUGUGUAGCGGUGAAAUGCGUAGAUAUAUGGAGGAACACCGGUGGCGAAAGCGGCUCUCUGGCUUGUAACUGACGCUGAGGCUCGAAAGCGUGGGGAGCAAACAGGAUUAGAUAUCCUGGUAGUCCACGCUGUAAACGAUGAGUGCUAGGUGUUAGACCCUUUCCGGG
rnacentral:rRNA from 1 species